rnacentral:lncRNA from 1 species
UCGGGAGUUACCGCUGCUGCCCAUAGCCUGCCACCCGAUAACCUCCACUUCUACACCCAACCACACUUAUCGCUGCUGCCUUGCCCGCCAAUCGAUAAGACCAAGAACCGGAGACUUCAUAACUCGACAAGGGGAACGGCUUCUCAGUCCACACACCUUGAAUAUCUAAACGUCCAAAUUCCUUAGAAAGAAGCUCUCCCAACAGGAACUGAAAAUGAAGCCAUGCCAACCGAACCCUCUUAGGAC